rnacentral:lncRNA from 1 species
CACCUCAUAAGGGAAGAGGGAUAGUUUAGAAAGAGAGGAAGCUAGUACCACCUCCAAGGGAAGAGGGGAAUAGUUUUGUAAGAGAGGAAGCUAGUACCACCUCCAUAAGGAAGAGGGAUAGUUUUGUAAGGAGAGGAGCUAGUACCACCCAUAAUGUAGAGGAAUAGGUUUAGAAAGAGAGGAAGCUAGUACCACCUCAAAUGUUAGAAGAGAAUAUUAGAAAGAGGAAGCUAGUACCACCUCCAUAGGGAAGAGGGGAAUAGUUUUGUAAGAGAGGAAGCUAGUACCACCUCCCUAAGGAGAGGGGAAUAGUUUUGUAAGAGGAGGAGCUAGUCCCCUUCAUAAGGGAAGAGGGGAUAGUUGUAAGAGAGAGGAAGCUAGUACCCCCUCCAUAAGGGAAGAGGGGAAUAGUUUUUGUAAGAGAGGAAGCUAGUACCACCUCCAUAAGGGAAGAGGGGAAUAGUUUUGUAAGAGAGGAAGCUAGUCCCGCCUUCAUAAGGGAAGAGGGGAAUAGUUUUGUAAGAGAGGAAGCUAGUCCCGCCUUCAUAAGGGAAGAGGGAAUUUUUGUAAGAGAGGAGCUAGUACCACCUCCAUAAGGGAAGAGGGGAAUAGUUUGUAAAGAGAGGAAGCUAGUACCCCCUCCAUAAGGGAAGAGGGGAAUAGUUUUGUAAGAGAGGAAGCUAGUCCCGCCUCAUAGGGAAGAGAGGAAUAGUUUUGUAAAGAGGAAGCUAGUCCCGCCUUCAUAAGGGAAGAGGGGAAUAGUUUAGUAAGAGAGGAAGCUAGUCCCGCCUUCAUAAGGGAAGAGGGAAUAGUUUUGUAAGAGAGGAGCUAGU